GAUGAACGCUGGCGGCGUGCCUAAUACAUGCAAGUCGAGCGAACAGACGAGGAGCUUGCUCCUCUGACGUUAGCGGCGGACGGGUGAGUAACACGUGGAUAACCUACCUAUAAGACUGGGAUAACUUCGGGAAACCAGAGCUAAUACCGGAUAAUAUAUUGAACCGCAUGGUUCAAUAGUGAAAGACGGUUUUGCUGUCACUUAUAGAUGGAUCCGCGCCGCAUUAGCUAGUUGGUAAGGUAACGGCUUACCAAGGCAACGAUGCGUAGCCGACCUGAGAGGGUGAUCGGCCACACUGGAACUGAGACACGGUCCAGACUCCUACGGGAGGCAGCAGUAGGGAAUCUUCCGCAAUGGGCGAAAGCUUGACGGAGCAACGCCGCGUGAGUGAUGAAGGUCUUCGGAUCGUAAAACUCUGUUACUAGGGAAGAACAAAUGUGUAAGUAACUAUGCACGUCUUGACGGUACCUAAUCAGAAAGCCACGGCUAACUACGUG
rnacentral:rRNA from 1 species